rnacentral:lncRNA from 10 species
CACUGCAGAAUCUGAAAAGAAAUGGCAAUGAGCAGAGGUCUCCCACCCUCACGUGGAGGACAGGGUCCGCAAAGAUGAGUCACAUUGUAGAACUUCACUAUUCAGAGAAAGCCCCUUCACAUGCAGAAUCUCGCUGGUCUCUCAGGACAAUCCUGUGAGACAUAUACUUCUAUUGACUACAAUGAGAAGUGUGUCUCUUAAAAAGGCUGGAGUGCAGUGGCGUGAUCUCGGCUCCCUACAACCUCCACCUCCCAGCUGCCUGCCUUGGCCUCCCAAAGUGCCGAGAUUGUAGCCUCUGCCCGGCUGCCACCCCGUCUGGGAAGUGAGGAGCGUCUCUGCCUGGCCGCCCAUCGUCUGGGAUGUGAGGAGCCCCUGUGCCCGGCCGCCCAGUCUGGGAAGUGAGGAGCCUCUUCCCGGCCGCCAUCCCGUCUGGGAAGUGAGGAGGGUCUCUGCCCAGCCGCCCAUCGUCUGAGAUGUGGGGAGCGCCUCUGCCCCGCCGCCCCGUCUGGGAUGUGAGGAUCGCCUCUGCCC